rnacentral:rRNA from 1 species
AUGAACGCUGGCGGCGUGCUUAACACAUGCAAGUCGAACGAUUAAGGCUCACUUCGGUGAGUGUAUAGAGUGGCGAACGGGUGAGUAACACGUGGGAAACCUGCCCCUUUCUUCGGGAUAACUUCGGGAAACCGUUGCUAAUACCGGAUACUCCGGGAUGGUCGCAUGGCCGACCCGGGAAAGCUUUAUGUGGAAAGGGAUGGUCCCGCGGCCCAUUAGCUUGUUGGUGGGGUAAUGGCCUACCAAGGCGAUGAUGGGUAGCCG